UAUGGCGACCGGCGCACGGGUGAGUAACACGUAUCCAACCUGCCGAUGACUCGGGGAUAGCCUUUCGAAAGAAAGAUUAAUACCCGAUGGUAUAAUCAGACCGCAUGGUCUUGUUAUUAAAGAAUUUCGGUUAUCGAUGGGGAUGCGUUCCAUUAGGCAGUUGGUGAGGUAACGGCUCACCAAACCUUCGAUGGAUAGGGGUUCUGAGAGGAAGGUCCCCCACAUUGGAACUGAGACACGGUCCAA
rnacentral:rRNA from 1 species